CAUGCUUCUCCAUCUACUCCUCCCCGUCUCAUCUUCCCUUAAUUUCUGAGAACAUAGAGAUCUUGGUCCUGGGUUGAUUCAAGACUGGUGUGAGCAGAAGCUACAUCUGUAUUCUGAAAGAGAGUUUUGGUAUAUCUAGACUUGGAUCCGUAUAUCUUCAUCGUGAAAAUCGGUGCCUAGGAAAUGAAUAUGUGCUUGAGUCGUGAUUAGAAAAGAAGCAGCUCCAUGGAUCCUCAAGUUAGUAAGCUCCUAGUUUACUAGUACUGUAGUACUAGUUUUGCGACGAGUCCUUCCAUGAUUUCCAUGAAAAUCUAGGUGCUUUCUUUUAUACUGGGGAAAAAGUAGCAUCUAUAUUCACUAUAUAUUCAAAGGCCAAGAGAAAUUGCCGACGAUACAAGCAGCAACUUGUUCAGUUAAUAUGUUCCAUACUAUAGUAGUAUUUUCCUCAUGGGAUCGAUCUGGAUUAGUAGACUUUUCUCUUGUCCAUGUUCUUGCACAUUUCAACCAUUUCCCUUUGGCUUGCACCAUUUAAUGGCUGCCAUGAAAUUUAUUAUUAAUUUCUGGAUUCAAUAUGUCACAUGAUUUGAUGAGUAUUUGUUAAGUUUUAUUAUUUUCUUACUUUAGAAAGUUUAUUAUGUAAGUUAAGUUGUUCCAUUUGUUUCAUAUACCUCCUUUUUUAUAAAUAUUAAUGUUUGUCUUUUCUUUUCUAACCAAUCUUUGAUGGCAUAAUGGCCUAUUGUCCUUGUGCAAUUUAUUUAACUUAAGCGGUUCCAUUCUUUUGCAUAAAUGGCUCAAACUUUUGCAUUCAAGGCGGCGUUGUGGCAUGGUGACUGGCUGGAUCACGCGGAGAUGAUUUGGCCGGCCUGCAUGCCUUGUCUCUCGUUAACGCCAGUGGCCAGGUACUUUGGCAAGCGUGUCGAAGUGCCUCGGCUGGCUAUAGCUCCGUUCUCACUUGACAUCCUCAAGUUUGGUUGUAGCAGCUGCACGUCUGACGGCUCGUUGCACCACUGUCUAAGCUGUAUGCCAAUAGUCAUGUAAGUGGGGGUGCUCAUUUGCAUGAAACGUGCUAUCAGAUAUCUUGAUCUGUGCUUACCCUGCAGAUUCUUCAAAAUUGCAACUCAAGUAUAGCAUAUCUUUCUCCGAAUAGGUGGAUAAUUGGAGUUUUUAGACUUGCUGAGGUCAAUAAUCUACCAAAUCUCAGGAUGAAUAUGAAAUUUGACAUUGAGGUUGCCAAUGUUUCUAUUAAGAUUGCCUUGUUGAUUCUAUAUCUUUUGUUGUGUUACAUUGUGUAAGUAUUACUGUUAAUGUUGGUUAUUUUAGGUCCCUGUUUAAGAACCUCAGCAUGGACAUGAAAGAUGUCAAAACAAAUUCAUUUCUUAAAGGCCGAGGAUGUGAAGUUGAGAGAAAUCCACAUUUUUCAAUCAAAGUUGAUGUUGCAUCUCAAACCCAGUAGUUGUAGCAGUCUCUUCAGACAUCAACCCCCCAAUAAACCACAUGGAACUGCAGCCUGAAGUCAAGAACACUUCCUGUGUCGUGAGGCUUCAUACUAUACUGAAUCAGGGCCCGAGGAAGAUACUCGACGAGGGGAAGGAGCAUCUUAAUGAAUAGCAAAGGGUCGUGUGGGUACAUUGAAUCCCGCCUGCCGGAUGGCAUUAAGCAUGCGACAAUGUUGAGCCAGACACACCAUCAUUACCUUCUUUCAUCACUCCAAAG